AUGGUUCUUUGGUUUAGGUCC
rnacentral:miRNA from 1 species